AAAAUCCUGGGAUGUGCGAGGCCCCUUCAUAUUUUGAACCUACAUUGAUCAAUAGGGAAUCCAACAUCUCAAAUGUGAUGUCAGACCUCUCGUCGUGGUAGGCAGAUCAUUUGUUGAGGAUACCCACCUAGCUGCGGCUAGGCGUCAAAUGGGAGGGAACGGCAUCCUGGGACAGAA
rnacentral:other from 1 species